AAUCCCAUGAUCAAUAACAUUUGGUUCCACAAUUGUUGUUGUGGACAAUGACUUAGAAAUCUUUGCAACACAAUUUUUUUGUGGGAUUGUGUUUUUGGUUGAAGGGAUUUGUCAAUGUAACGGAUCGGAGGUGUUCAAAUGUUUUUGUGUUUAAACUAUAAGCUUCACCAAUGGAGGUCGUGGAUUUUCCCACCAAAUUUUGUAAGGGUAUUUUGGGCAGCUUCUUGGUAAAUACGUUUGUCAACGGUUUGGAAAUCAGUGACACUAUUGGUACAUUGGUUUUCAUUUUUUACUUUUUUAUUUUUUGUAAUUUAAUCUCUUUUAUUUUUGUUGUGGUUUUGGACCGCUGCGGAUUAUCUUUCCAGGAUGCAUCCCAUCUAGAUCUGUGAAAUGAAUGCCUAUUUUUAUUGGGUUGGUAACUUGGUGAUGUCUUUGGUAUUUUUAUAGCGGAAGUCGUUGAUGGGUUCGAUUCAUCAUUUCCAACAAUUUUCUGCAAACCCAAGCUUCAGAUAAAAGGACAAGUCAUUUAAUGCCUAAAUCGUUUUCUGGGCAGUCUAUUGUUGCUGGAAGUCGGGACUGAAAAGAGGCCGAUCUGAUCACAUCAGUUUGCAAGGAAUUUGGCAGAAGGGUUUGUUAAUUCAUCUUGGAUUAUGUGGUCGAGAAGAUGCACCAUGCUGUACCAUGAAAUCCCAUGAAUUUCUUAACGAUUUCCUAGGAUCAGUUAAUUUCUGUAGGUUUUUAAAAUAUAGAAUUGUAAGUCGAUGGCUUUUUUUAAUGGUUGUUUUACAAAGAAAAGAUGCUCGCUCAUGCUCCUCGUGGUUCUGCAGAUUUUUAUCUUUCCUAAAUAAUUUGGAUAUAGCUUUGGAGAGAUGACUUGCGAUGGUGGGCUUUCCAUGCUUUUCCACCUUUCCUUUUCGUUGAGGAAAACUUGGGUAUGUUACUGCGCGAAGAAUAGGAUGAAGAAGGAUAAAGCCUUUACAUACAUUGGGAUAAUAGAGGACAACCUUUAUCCUGCUAAUAAUAGGCAUUGAGGUUUGAAUUAUUUUGGUAUGGCCUUGACUUUAGUACAAGAAACAGAGGCAUAUUUCUGAAAUCUUGAGGAUUCUUAUUUCUUCCUUAAAUUGUUUGUGGCGUGUUCUGGGAUUCGUGUAAUGGGGUGGAUUUCAAUCAUGGUGUUUGAAAUAGAGUUCUGAAAUUCCA